GAUGAACGCCGGCGGUGUGCCUAAUACAUGCAAGUCGUACGCACUGGCCCAACUGAUUGAUGGUGCUUGCACCUGAUUGACGAUGGAUCACCAGUGAGUGGCGGACGGGUGAGUAACACGUAGGUAACUUGCCCCGGAGCGGGGGAUAACAUUUGGAAACAGAUGCUAAUACCGCAUAACAACAAAAGCCACAUGGCUUUUGUUUGAAAGAUGGCUUUGGCUAUCACUCUGGGAUGGACCUGCGGUGCAUUAGCUAGUUGGUAAGGUAAUGGCUUACCAAGGCGAUGAUGCAUAGCCGAGCUGAGAGGCUGAACGGACACACUGGGACUGAGACACGGCCCAG
rnacentral:rRNA from 1 species